UGUCUUCUUCUUCCCUUCUCCUCUCUCACGUUUCUUCAAUUCUUCCAUGAGAGUUUUCUUCAAGCUUCCAUAACUUUCUCUCUCUAGCUCCAAUUUUCAUGCUUUCGGUGUACUCUUCCAUAAACCCUUAUGCUUUUUCAUCCUCUCACUUUAAAACCCUUCAAAAAUCUGGUUUUCAUACUUUCUCUCACUAGCUGGACGUUUUAGAGAGAUAAAGAGAGAAUUACACCAUUUAUUUGGAAGCUGUUGGGAGAGAAUUUGACUACAAAGGAGCCCUAGGGUAAGUGAUUAACUAAGCUCAAUUUUUAGCUGUAGAAAAUGGCUAGUAAUUGAGAUUUAUGAGUUGUUUUGUUGUUGACUAUGUUCAUUACUUUUUAGUGAUUAAGAUAGUGAACAUGAUAGCCAUUUAAUGUGGCAAUUGAAAACUAGUUAAGAGAGAGCUUUUAAGGUUCAUAGUGUGUAAAUUAACCUAUUACUUAUGCUAAUGUGAUCUUAGGUUCUAAGAAAGCCCCAUCAUCUCAUUUGGACAAUUAGGGGAAUUAGAGUCAUCUAAAGGCUUUACAAUCAAUUGGUGAGUGGACUGCCUUCAAAACUUGUUUUGGGAAAAAUAAUGUAUUUGCCACCCAUUUGAAUGAAUUAUCAAGUUUUUUAUAAAGACAAGUGCCUUGGGAACAAGCUUUUGCAAAAUGGUUUUAUGUGGUGAUAUGUGAUUGCUAUGGAUUCAUGCACUAUUAUAGUAUGAUGAUAUAUAAAUGUGUGUGUUGUGCAUGAUGAAUGAUAUUGUGUAUAAUGACUGUAACCGUGUGUGUGCACGAUGUGGGGGGAUGCACAUGCCGGUGAUGAUGGUGGCGUGAGAGAUGGAUGAUGAUAGUGCCCGUGUGCACGAUGUGGGGGGAUGUACACGAUGGCACUGAUUGUGCACGAUGUGAGGGGAUGCACACGAUGGUGCCGGCUAUGUGCACGAUGUGGGGGGAUGUACAUGAGCCAGGUGUGUUUAUGAUGAUGUUGAUGUUUAUCUAUGUAAUUAUGCAUAUCUAGACUUAUGAAAUGAAAACUUAUGAAUAUGAUAUAUGAUUGACAUAUAUGAGAAAUUUGAUACAUUACACUUUGGGAAUUUUCAUGUGCUGUAUGUUGAUUUUAUUGGUUUAGCAGGAUGGCCUUUUUGUUGGGUGAGGGAAAACUUUUCUCUUGUUGCUUUGUUUUCGCUACAGCAAAAUUCAUUCUCGCUGCAGCGAGAAACUCUCGGGUUUGAGAACCUUCACCAGAACUGGUUCUCGCUGCAGCGAAACUGUAUUUCGCUAUAGCGAGAUAGUCACCGUAGCCUCUCGCUGCAGCGAAAAAGGAAUCUCGCUACAGCAAAAAACUCUCUAUUUCAUCAGCUGAAUUUCGCUGCAGCGAGAAACCUUCUGUUUCUGGGUUACAAUUUCGCUGCAGCGAAAAACCUUCUGUUUUGGUCUCCUAUCUUGUCCAAUUGCUGCCCUAUCUUUCACUUCCUUACUACCAUAUUAGAGCAUGGACUUCCUACAUUAAGGAUUAAAUGAGUUAAGUUUAAAGGGAGGAGGUUUAGUGAGAAAUCCUCGGCCAGUUGAGAAACCCUCGUUUGGCUAAUAACUUAAUCCCAACGUCGCUGCAACGAGAAUGCCUUUCCGUUGCAGCGAAGAUUCGUUGUCAUAUUUGACUUGCUUAUGUAUCAUUGAAGCUUUCAUUAUUCAAAUGGUUCAUUGUGUAUGGAUUCAUGAUUUUCAAAUGAUCAAUCAAUUAAGGGCUUGAUAAGGGGUUUUUAGUAAGAAUAGAAACAAAUUGCAUUGUUUUGAAAAAGAAUGCAUCAUGAUUUCAUUAAAGAUUCCUUACAGUAUGCUUGUUCCCUUUCUUGUUCACUCACUGGGUUUAUACUCACCAUUUUCAACUUCAUGUUUUCAGAUCACGAGGCAGCCGGUAACUAGGACGAGGUGUCCUUAUAGACUUGUACACAUCUUUUGGUAGGUGUCUCAGCAUUCAGUAGCUGUACAUUCGUUUGAGUAUCUCCGCUGGAUAUCGAGUCUUCUUUUUUAGAUGUAUAGACAAACUUGAUGUAAAUUAUUAAGACACAUGCUGUAGACGAUGCAUGUAUAUUUUAAAUGAGUAAUGCCAAUACGAGUUGGAAAUGUCUAUUACUAUUUUGAUUUAAA
rnacentral:lncRNA from 1 species